rnacentral:rRNA from 1 species
GUGGGGAAUCUUCCGCAAUGGACGAAAGUCUGACGGAGCGACGCCGCGUGAGUGAAGAAGGCCUUCGGGUCGUAAAGCUCUGUCAUCAGGGACGAACGGCCGGUGGAGUGGAAAGCCACCGGAUUGACGGUACCUGAGAAGGAAGCCACGGCUAACUACGUGCCAGCAGCCGCGGUAAUACGUAGGUGGCAAGCGUUGUCCGGAAUUAUUGGGCGUAAAGCGCGCGCAGGUGGGAUCUUACGUCCAUUUUGAAAGUUCGGAGCUCAACACCGUGAUGGGAUGGAAACUGGGAGUCUUGAGUAGCGGAGAGGAAAGCGGAAUUCCCCGUGUAGCGGUGAAAUGCGUAGAUAUGGGGAGGAACACCAGUGGCGAAGGCGGCUUUCUGGACGGUGUCUGACACUGAGGCGCGAAAGCUAGGGGAGCGAACGGGAUUAGAUACCCUUGUAGUCC